rnacentral:rRNA from 1 species
GGAGGGGUGGAAACCGUGGAAAACAAGUUAAGCGUGCUUGGGCGAGAGUAGUACUAGGAUGGGUGACCUCCUGGGAAGUCCUCGUGUUGCAUUCC